rnacentral:rRNA from 1 species
AGCGACAGGCUUAACACACGCAAGUCGAGGGGUAACAGGGUAGCAAUACCGCUGACGACCGGCGCACGGGUGAGUAACGCGUAUGCAACCUGCCUAUAACUGGGGAAUAGCUCCCUGAAAGGGGAAUUAACACCGCAUAACACUAUUGAUUCGCAUGGAUUAGUAGUUAAAUGUAGCGAUACAGGUUAUAGAUGGGCAUGCGUGACAUUAGCUAGUUGGUGAGGUAACGGCUCACCAAGGCUACGAUGUCUAGGGGUUCUGAGAGGAACGGUCCCCCCACACUGGUACUGAGACACGGACCAGACUCCUACGGGAGGCAGCAGUGAGGAAUAUUGGUCAAUGGGCGCAAGCCUGAACCAGCCAUGUCGCGUGCAGGAAGAACCUCGCCCUAGUGGGUUAGUAAACUGUCUUUUAUAGUAGAAGAAACACAUCUACGCGUAGAUGUCUGCCAGUAUACUAUGAAUAAGCAUCGGCUAACUCCGUGCCAGCCGCGGC